rnacentral:lncRNA from 1 species
GUCCACUGGACCUGGAAUAAGCUUCAGGUAGAAAUACUCUCAAUCAGUUGAAGAACAAGAUUGAAGAGUAGACUAUUAUUCAAAGGUUGAGUUUUAUGAGAAAAUAUUAGCAAAGCUGCAAAAGACAUGGAGCCGGUCUAAAAACAGUGUACAUAGAACACUAAGACUCUUGAAUCUUCAGAAAAGAAUAUUCAAGAUUUGAAAGCGGAGAACAGUUUACUGGAUAGUAAUCACAAAGGACAUGUUGACAAGAGCCUCUGUGUCUGGUGAAGGCUGUCCAAGGGAGAGAGACCGAGAGAGGAAGGAUUACAGAGGCAGCAAUUCAACAAGAUUGCUACAGAGCACCUAUAUGUUCAGUUUGAAGAUAUUGAUGUGACUUACAAACAUAGCGCAGAUGUGAAUGUAUGCUGUAUGACUGUCUAUGCCUAUACCAGAAAGUUUACCUAAACAAGUAUUUUCUGUGUCCUUCUUGACUUGUUAGCCUUUUGUCUAGCAAACGUAUAUGAUAGUUUGAAUACCUAGCCAGUGCCUUGCCUGCUCUGUGUCAAGGAUAGAAUGCAGUUCUCCUGUUCCUGGAGACUGAGAAAGCAGUUGUAAGACAUAAAUCCACGUCCUGAAGCUCUAAAUGUUUUCAUUUUGAUUAGAUGAAAAAAGCAAUGGAAAUAGCUGCCAUUCACAAGGAUAUCUUUGCUCUUCAGCAGGCUGUUUCUUCAUCAUCUUCACUCCUCUGUUGCGGAUAGGAGCAAUCUUCUGAUCUUCCUUAUCCCUGCUCUCUAGGGACACUAGAGCAAGGAGAGAGUAGUCUUCUGAUCUCUCACAACUGUUUCCUCUGCAAGCCAGAUUACUUUAACUGUUCUGUGUCUGAUCCACUUCCUUUUGCACUAGUACCAAGAACAGCACAGAACUGAUUUUAAGUACUGUAAAGAAAUAUUUGAGUCACAUUAUUCAUACAAAUUAUUUUUUUCUCUUGAUUUAUGUAAUAGGUGUGUCUGAAGUAGAUGAUUUGUUUCAUUGAGAUCAUAGAAGGAAAAAAAAAACCCAAACAAUGUUAAAAGUAAGCAUUAAUAAUUCAUACAUUUUUAGACAUUUGUUUCAGUUAAAUAAAAUAGAAAUGUAACCACA